GGGCCAGUUUGUUGAGAGUGGGUUAAAUCGUCGAUUUGAUCAUUAUGGAUUCCCCUUAAUUGAGGAUUAAGAAUCCUUGAUAAUCAUAGAGCGUUUGUUCACUUUUUUUUCACUUUGAUCAACAAAUCAUAGUUUUUCCAAAAAUCAUUCCAUUUUCCAAUCUAUCUGUCAGUUUGGUUGUCGAAACUUAAUCAAGAAUUAAGUUUUUUUUUUUCAUUUUUUGAAGUUUGUUAUUAUUUUGUUGAAUUUGAAAGCGCUAGCAGUAAGGAAGAAAUGAUUAAAAAAAUCGAAGACCCUGACGACAAACGAAAUAAAAAAAAAAACAGCAAAUUUUAAAGCAGCAACAAUUGCAUUAUAGCCAACAGAAAUACGAACAAAAGCUUUUUGACGCCGCGGAGGAGCACUGCAUUAAAAUGCAAAACAUGGAGGUCAAGCUUUAAACCGAACAGAAAAAAGCCAUCCCUAUUUCGGUUGGCGUUUGUCAUAAAACGACAAGAAAACGGCUUGCUCUAGAAGCGGCAAUUUUUGUAAAAUUGAAUAUUUAACUUGACAGUUUCCUCCGCUCUCUGCCAUUCUUCCUUAUGAAACGAUAAUUGCUAUACUUUAGCCUCAAUUUUGGAUUCCAGAGCUAGUCGUUUUUGUGUCGUUUUAUGACAAAGGCCAACCGUAAUAGGGGUAAGUAUUCGCUUUGAAACUCUCUUAUUUUGUUUUAUGCUAUUUUUUGUUACUUAAUAAAAAGGAAAUAAAUGUACUUAUGUUGAAAAUGUA